GCUUCUCUCUCUCUCUCUCUCUCUCUCUCUCUCUCUCUGUGUGUGUGUGUGUGAGAGAGAGAGAGAGAGAGAGAGAGAGAGAGAGAGAGAG